UAUGUAUGUUAAAUCACGUCUGUGAUCUUUUUUAAAUGGCCUCGAGCAGCAGAUAAACAAUGAAUCUAACGGAUGAUCAGUUUCCCAACUGAAGGGAAUAAGGGAUGUGUUUGGAGCCUCACACUCAUCCAGCAGAAGCAUGUGGACAGACAUUGACAGUAAUGAUGGUCAUCUGCUGAUGGACAGAUAUGACUGAAUCUUUCUCUGUGUCUCAGAUGAGGAGGAUGUGAAGCUCAGGACGGGUCAUCAUAUCAACACAUCAAUCUACAGACAAACAUCUCAUUUGAAUAAAGAUUUAAUGAUGAAAGCCUGAUCAAUGUGUCAAUGUUGUGCCCACUGGUGGAUGAUUUGUGUAUCUGCAUGAAAACAGCAAGAGGACAGAAAGUGAAGAGUGUGUAAUCCUGCAGCUGUAGAGCAGUUUAAGAUCAAGCCUCAUUAAAAACACCUGAAGCUGCUAAUCAAUCAAGCUCAUCAGCACUGAUAGAAAU